rnacentral:lncRNA from 1 species
CACGGUAUGCCCCUGAUGUUAAUACUGUGGGGAAAAUUUUAAUUGCCCCACAAACAAACAAAACAAACAAAUUAAAAUUUGUUUAAUGUUUUUGUACUUAUUGUGGGAAUUAUUGGUACAAUAAUCAAUUAUGCAUACAAGGAUUGAUUGCUUAAUACAGUAAUAUUUAUUUUCAACAACACUGAGGCAUUAAUAUCAUUUUAUGUUGUUUAGUGUUAUUUCAUAGGUCUAUAUGCUAGAGACAGCAGAUGUGUCAGUGGUGGCGCCAGCAGGGAUAGGGGACAUCUAGUCGGCUAACGCCUCCAUUUGUGUAUGACCAAUUACGAAGGAAAUUAAAUGCAUAUUACAGAAUUUUGCUAGCACUCACCAAAUUUAAGUAAUUUGUGUUUUCAAGUAGUGGAAAACAGCAGGUUUUAAAAUGCACCUAAAUUACCCAUUGAUUUAGAUAUUCACUAGAUGUCAUACAGAGAAAGGAUAAUACAGCUUGUUAUUGUUUUAUAAUGUAUUAAACUCACCCACGCAUUCAAUGAACAUACCUUGUUGAUAACAAAUAUUGACUGUAUUAUAACGGCAUAAUGAACAGUAACAAAACAAUUUCCACGUAGUAAAGACCAAAUUCCUUUUAACAGUAUAGACUCGAGAAUAGCCAUAAAUAAAACAUAGCUCCAUAUAAAACAUACUAUUGGACCAGCUACACAAAGGAAGUAGAUCAUAAAUUCGAAUAACCAGUAGUAAAAAACAACUGUAGGUACCAAAAUUUUCCCUUCUACCAGUCAAUAUUUGAAUCAAGGUUGUAGAGAAGUUGCUGUAUAUUCAUAAAUUAAACUGCUGGUUACAGUUCAAAUCAAUGAAGCCAUAGGAGUAAGACAUGCGUGAACGAGCCCUUUAAACGCAUUGUUCAAAAUAUUUCUAUGCAAAAUUUUUACUGCUGCCUGUGCAAUGCCGUCUAAGAGAGGUACACAGGAGAAAAGCUCAGUUUCUGUCAACUUUGAAACUUUUGUGAAGGGAUCGUUGGAAUCGCUCAUAAAAGGCCAAGAAGCCAUUAAAGCUGAUCUCAGUAAAGCUAUUGAACACAACUCUGCCUGUAUCGAUGUUAUACCAAAAACGACAAUGAAAAAGGACAUUUUGCUCAAUUUAAAGCAGAAAAACGACUGUGUCUAACUUGCAAAUCUCAACUGCCCAAUUACGUUUAGAAAUUCUACAGGUUGGAGCGAUUCUCCCGAUGCAAUAACUUUUGAAUAGUAGGAAUUGACGAAAGUCUGAUGGAGAACUGUAAGUUGAUUAUUCAGAAAAUUAUCUCUGAAAAGUUUAAUCUCUUGUCCACCCCAAUAAUUUAGCAUGUCUAUCGUGAUGGCAAAGGUGUGAACAGUAGACCCUGACACAUGCUUGUGCGAUUUCUCUCAUACGUCACCAAAGUCAAUGUUACGAAACAACGAAAUGACGCUUUAAAGACCAAAUCUACAUACAUAAUAGAUGAUCUUACUAGCUGAUCACACAGAAAAAAAUAAAUGGAAAGCCGCAGUUAAGAAUUUGUAUGAUAAUGGCACUAAACUUACCUUCACAGCAGGAAAAUGGAGGAAUUCAAAUGGAAUCCCAUACGAAUUUAAGAAGAGUUAAGGAAGUCAUGAUACGUCUAACAUAAAAAAAACCAAAGAUAUUCUAUAUUGUACUGUUAAGCAUUUUGCUUUUCAUUCACUAUAUAUAAACCUUUAUUAUAUUAAAUUUAGUAUGCACUGUUCCUUAUAGCUACUGCAACUCAUUUAUUUUGUAAAAAACAAAAAACAUAUGGUAAAGUAUGUUUGUAUAUUUGUUUUUUCUUUUUUAUAUAUACAUUCCGUAUACUUUCAUGGUGUGUUCUGCUUGUAACAAGACUAUAAUAUGUUUCUAGUGACUCAGUUGCUCACAAAUCAUGCAUGGAUGAUUCAAGUUGGAUUUCUCUUCUUCCAAACUACUGUUUAACAAAUUUAAUGUCUGAAUGUUUGAAUAAACAUAAACAAACAAAACA